GCUGACGAGUGGCGGACGGGUGAGUAAUGUCUGGGAAACUGCCUGAUGGAGGGGGAUAACUACUGGAAACGGUAGCUAAUACCGCAUAACGUCGCAAGACCAAAGAGGGGGACCUUCGGGCCUCUUGCCAUCGGAUGUGCCCAGAUGGGAUUAGCUUGUUGGUGGGGUAACGGCUCACCAAGGCGACGAUCCCUAGCUGGU
rnacentral:rRNA from 1 species